UUUCGGUUCCAAUUCGUCUGUGAAAUCGACAGAGUGGUGUGACAAAAAACCUUCCUAUAGCUUCAGCUGAAAGCAGUUUGAAUUUGACAGAAGAGAAGAAAUUCCAUGGUGCUAUUCUAGUCAGCAGCCAUCUUUGGGAUGCCAAGGCAUCCCCUGUGGCAUCCCCUGAGACGCAAACAGUGAGCUUCCCGUGAAUAAGAAGCAAUGAUGAGCUUUGCUAAAUGUUUUCCUCUGAAAAACAAACAGCCCAGAUACCUGCUGCAGGGAUUCUGAAAUGAAGCCUAAAACUAAAAAGUCAACUAAAAAACAAAACCAGAAGGUGGAGAUGCUGACAUGGGAAAACAAUGCCUGAUCACAGCACAAACGAUUUCCUCUUUUUCUGACCCUAUGAUCUUGGACAAUGCUGUAUCAACACUGGCUACAAAGGACAGUUCUGGGGUAGCAUUUCCCCAUUAACCUUGCUGUUGAAACAUGCUCGGUUUUGUUGUCGUUGUCUAAUCCUUCUCUAUUGCUCCUUUAGUAUGUGAUUCAAAGGUCACAAAUACAUGGGAAUGAUGCAGUGUGCCUUACAGAAGCCCCCUAAUAAUUCUACAGCCAUUUGUAUAAUGUCUACAGAUUAUCUGCAGUGUACUCUUAAUGUUGAAGUGACACAUUAAUCUCAGCUCAUAUUCCCUGUUGAUGGUCCUGAGUUCUGAGAUAUUUAUUAUUUUGAAG
rnacentral:lncRNA from 11 species